rnacentral:tRNA from 1 species
AAAGAUGUAGUUCAAAGGUAGAACAAUAGUUUCCUAAACUAUAAAUGUAGGUUCAAUUCCUAUCAUCUUUA